GCACAGUAUGUAUGUUGGUAACAGGCUAAGGAAGAUAACCCUACUCUAGGUGUGUCUCCUGCUAUAUAUCCAGCAACUACAACAAAUACGCUGUAGUUACCAUUAUCCUGUUAGCGAGUGUGUCUCAGACUUUACUAGAUGAAUCCAAAAGUGGAAUGACAGAUGUCCCUCCAUCUUGAAAUGGAUGUGCUGGGAAUUAGGCCUUCACUUAACUUGUAUGGGCUCCUG